rnacentral:snoRNA from 1 species
GUUUGGUUUUAGGGCAAGCCUGUCUGCUUGGGUCUCUCCAAUAUCCCCAACUAGAUCAAACCAAAUUCUAGCCCCUCUGGACUCUGUGCCAAUUGAUUGCUGGCACUGAGGUGGGUUGUACAGUG